UCCCUGGAGGACUAGUGGUUAGACCACAGCUCUCUCACUGCCGCAGUCUGGGUUCAAUUCCUGGCCAAGGAA